GAAAAGAAAUGAGAAUCACAUUACAACACACUUUUUUUUCGUGGACAUUACAGACAGUAGUUGUGAUUACAAAAAACAAAGUGCAAUAAGAUCACACAUGAAGUGGUUCUUGUGACUUUAUAACAAAAAAAUUGCAUACAUGUAAAAGCCUCCCUUAUUUAAUUACAAAAAUGAUGAGUCAGUGAGAGAGCAGAACUGACCCAUCAGAUCUCAUUAUAGUGCAUAUAAAUAGUAGUUUCUCAGCUGUGUAUAUAUUGCAGUACUGCAUGCUGUUUGUUUUAAGGACACUUGAGCCUCCCGCCGUGGGUAGUCAUCUUGGCGUAGCAGGGGCACACUUCUCUGUUUCCUGAGGUGCCCGGUGGCACGCAAUUGCACCUUGCGCAGCAGGUCCCGCAUGCCCUGAUGCACAUCCGAUGCCUCGAUGCUAACCGGCACCUCCC
rnacentral:lncRNA from 1 species